GGGUGAGUAACACGUGGAUAACCUACCUAUAAGACUGGGAUAACUUCGGGAAACCGGAGCUAAUACCGGAUAAUAUAUUGAACCGCAUGGUUCAAUAGUGAAAGACGGUUUUGCUGUGACUUAUAGAUGGAUCCGCGCCGCAUUAGCUAGUUGGUAAGGUAACGGCUUACCAAGGCAACGAUGCGUAGCCGACCUGAGAGGGUGAUCGGCCACACUGGAACUGAGACACGGUCCAG
rnacentral:rRNA from 1 species